UGUUGGCUCAUCCUCUCCCUCUCUGACAUUGUCUUUCCCAGAGCAUACAUUUUAGUAAUUUCCAUUAAGUCCAUCCUAUCAGUGGCUUCUUUCAUUGCAUCAAGCCUUUGUUAUUCUCUCCCAUACCUGUCUGUCUGUCUGUCUGUCUGUCUAGGAUGUAGUCUGGGUCAGCAUCAAAAUUGUGGAGUGCCUUCUGCCUCAACUUCCUGAUUGCUGGGAUUGACCACUGUGCUGAUGUGUUGUCUCUAUAAGUAGUCACUAACCCACACCCUCUAAACGUUAAGAAAAUCAUGUGUGUGCACAUGCAUGCUCAUAUUAGAUGACUACUGUUAGAGUUGGUUCUUGUCUUCUACUGUGUACAUUCCAGAUAUUAAACUCAGGUUGUCAAACAUGGCAAACAUGGCCUUUAUUUACUGAGCCAUCUCACUGGCCCCUCAUUUAGCUCCCACACCCUUGUGGAGUUACAUGUUUGGUUUUACACUUUAUAUCUUAUUCUAUGAUAUAUUAAUUUUUGUGAGAUGUAUGAGUCUAAUUUUUUUAUGUGGCUGCAUAGUUUUUCUGUACCAACAUACUGUAUUGUCUUUGUUCCUUUGUCAAAGAUCAGUUUCCCUGGAAAUAGGGGCAGCAUACCUGUAGCCUCAGCUUCUUGGGAGGACAAAGGCUGACUCAGGAGUUCAAGAUUGAUCUGGGCAACAUAGUGAAACCCACCUUAAAAAAAUCUGCUUACAGUAUUUCUUGUUCUAUUUGUGGGCUGUAUUCUUGCACUGAUAUACUUGUCUAGUACAUGAAGUAUGUGCGUCUUCUGACAAUAAGAGGCUGUCUCAGUGUAAGAAGAUUUUGGUUUGCAUUUAUUUAUAUGCAUGUGUGUAGCUUGAAUGUGGAAGUCAGAGGACAACUUUCAGUUGGUUGUUGGUUGUCUCUUUCUAGGAUGUGGGUCCAGGGAUAGAACUCACUUGAAUUCAUUUUCAAUGUUAAAAAAAAAAUGCACUUGCUGUCUUUUCCUAAGAAUCAAGGUGCUUUGGUCAUAAAAUGCUGAUUCAUGGGAUAAUCAAAAGGAAACCUGGAGUAACUGGCUUGAUAUGUAAAUAAAAGACUGGGUUUUGAUCUAUAAGAGAGAACUGCUUGGAGAGUGAACACAGAUCUUUUAGAAUUAUUUUUUCUAGCAUGAGAGAGCUGUCUUGAGCAGACUACAAAGCUAAGGGCUAUCUACAGAGCUGUCUCAAGCAGAAUACAGAGCUGCCCGCUUGCACCCCACCUCAUUGGUGUUUCUUUUGCUGAUCUCAGACCCCCUCUUCAAUCAAGGCUGAUCCUUGGCAUAUAUCAGCCUUAUAUCCUGCAGCGUUCUCUGCAAUGUCUUAUUACAAACAGGUUGUCUUGUCUGGGAAGUGGUGGCGCAGGCCUUUAACCUCAGCACUUGGGAGGCAGAGGCAGGUGGAUCUCUGAGUUUGAGGCCAGCCUGGUCUACAAAGGUAGUUCCAGGACAGCCAAGGCUACACAGAGAAACCCUGUCUUGAAAAAACAAAACAAAACAAAAAAACAACAACAAAGAAACAGCUUGUCUGCCAGUUCUUUGGGUUUUCUAGAGCUCCUUACAUGACCUGUGAGCACGGACAGUAUCUCCCCUUCCUUUCAAGCUUUGUACCUUUUUAUUAUUUCUUUUUGUUGUUAUAUUGCAUUUACUAGGACUUCCCAUACGGAGAGAAAAUCCUUGUCUUUCUUGUUCCUCACCUUGGUGAAAAAACUCGUAAGUUAACUAUAAUGUUCAAGUGUUUCACAGAUAUUACCACAUCAAAGAAGUUCCUGUUUAUUCCUAGAUUGUAAUUUUAAAAUUAUAAAUGGAUAUUAAAAAUCUUUAUUACCUUUUAUUUAGUGUGUGUACACCAUGGUGGUAAUGUAUGCAGGUCAGAGAACAACUUGCAGGUACGAGUGGGUCCCUUCCUCCCACCAUUGGGUCCUGGAAAAAACUCAGCUUUGGCAGAAGCCGACACCUGAAUUCAAAUAUUUCUUUCUUUCCUUUUAAAAGCUUAAACAGUG
rnacentral:lncRNA from 1 species